GUACCCACAUAAAAUCAAGAGACUAUACGUGUGCAUGGUUUGGAAAAUAGAAAGAUAAGGUAGGGUCUAUCAUUUUUUAUCUUUUGUGAGGAGAAAAGUAUGGGUUUAUUACCGGAAGCUGAAAUGAGAAGGAACCCGAAGAGGAGGACAAAGAAGGCCUUCGGGCUCACAAGCUUGGCCAUGAUUUCUCACAAAAAGCUUGGACAAUGAAUGCGAGGGUAGUGUGUAUAGGAGAAGGGUGCUUAAGAACACUUGAACAAG
rnacentral:lncRNA from 1 species